CGGAAAGAUUUAUCGUAACAUAAAUUUGCUGAGAAGCAUUUGAAGAACACAUCUCCAUAAACAGUUACUAUCAAAUCCAUUUAUAUAGGAAUGUGCUAAGGUCCAGAGAUCUUAAAUAGCAGGCCUAUGUUUACAUAGCCAGGAAUGGCAGGACCUAUUUUGGUGUCUCCUGGAGGAAACAAACCUUGGUAUGAAUAAAGAAAAGAUGUCUGCAGAGGAGAACCAGGAAGGAUAAUAAUUAGUGUUUGGAAAUAUUUUAUUUAGUGACAAUAUUGCAACUUCCUAGUUUUAUGGUUUAGACAGCACUUUCCAGGACUUUGAUAUAUGAACUGUCAUAACUCUAGCCCCAGUCUGAACCCCAGCCACUAAGCGCACACAUUCCCUCAUAAGUGCCGCACCUGGACAAACAGGACUCAUACUUUUUGGCUCCAAGGACAAUAUUUCUUUGCUGGAUCAUUUUCCUGUCUGCAUCCCCGGCCAUCCCACAGAGAAAUGCCCUCCUCGUGUUGUCUGUAAAACCCCAGGAAUGCCUCUCCUGACACUUCAGCCUUUCGUAGUGGUUUGGGCAAUUUGGAAAUACAAUUAAAGCAAUAGUUUAGUGAUUUUUCUGUGCCUCCUCUGUUUUUGCAAGCCCCACGGAUUAUUAUUUUUACUGUGGCUGUGAAGAGCCCUGAUCUUGUCCACUAAAUCCUUCUAUCUAAUGAGCAAUGGCUUAACAAAAG
rnacentral:lncRNA from 1 species